rnacentral:rRNA from 1 species
UACGUAGGCAGCAAGCGUUGUUCGGAGUUACUGGGCGUAAAGAGUGCGUAGGUGGUGCCCUAAGUCUGUUGUGAAAUCUCCCGGCUUAACUGGGAGGGUGCGGUGGAAACUGGGGUGCUUGAGUGUGGGAGAGGUAAGCGGAAUUCCUGGUGUAGCGGUGAAAUGCGUAGAUAUCAGGAGGAACACCGGUGGUGUAGACGGCUUACUGGACCACGACUGACACUGAGGCACGAAGGCCAGGGGAGCAAACGGG